AGAUGGACCUGCCUCCUUACACAAGAGGAGAGGAAAAAGAUGCGUGUGGGUGCCUCCAGAAAAUGAGAAACCACAUCACUCAGUGGAUGGCAAGGAAGGAAAGACCCAGCCCUCUCCAUCGGACACUGGCAGCCCAAUUUGGAAAAGAACAUAUUUAAUAGACCUCACCAAGGCAAAAAUCACUUUUCAUCCAAGGGAUCCUAAGCAAAAAGCAAAGAGGCACAGCAUGAAGGGACAGCACCUUCUGCUCUAGAAAGACCCAAGAUGAUAGUGGCUUCAGCCACCAAAAUGUCAAGUAGCAAAUAGUUACUGAAUAAAAAAGCCAGGGGCUCUUCCUGACC
rnacentral:lncRNA from 1 species